rnacentral:rRNA from 1 species
UAAGGGCGCACGGUGGAUGCCUUGGCACUAGAAGCCGAUGAAGGACGUUACUAACGACGAUAUGCUUUGGGGAGCUGUAAGUAAGCUUUGAUCCAGAGAUUUCCGAAUGGGGAAACCCAGCAUGAGUUAUGUCAUGUUAUCGAUAUGUGAAUACAUAGCAUAUCAGAAGGCACACCCGGAGAACUGAAACAUCUUAGUACCCGGAGGAAGAGAAAGAAAAUUCGAUUCCCUUAGUAGCGGCGAGCGAAACGGGAAGAGCCCAAACCAACAAGCUUGCUUGUUGGGGUUGUAGGACACUCUAUACGGAGUUACAAAGGACGACAUUAGACGAAUCAUCUGGAAAGAUGAAUCAAAGAAGGUAAUAAUCCUGUAGUCGAAAAUGUUGUCUCUCUUGAGUGGAUCCUGAGUACGACGGAGCACGUGAAAUUCCGUCGGAAUCUGGGAGGACCAUCUCCUAAGGCUAAAUACUCUCUAGUGACCGAUAGUGAACCAGUACCGUGAGGGAAAGGUGAAAAGCACCCCGGAAGGGGAGUGAAAUAGAACCUGAAACCGUGUGCUUACAAGUAGUCAGAGCCCGUUAAUGGGUGAUGGCGUGCCUUUUGUAGAAUGAACCGGCGAGUUACGAUUUGAUGCAAGGUUAAGCAGUAAAUGUGGAGCCGUAGCGAAAGCGAGUCUGAAUAGGGCGUUUAGUAUUUGGUCGUAGACCCGAAACCAGGUGAUCUACCCUUGGUCAGGUUGAAGUUCAGGUAACACUGAAUGGAGGACCGAACCGACUUACGUUGAAAAGUGAGCGGAUGAACUGAGGGUAGCGGAGAAAUUCCAAUCGAACCUGGAGAUAGCUGGUUCUCUCCGAAAUAGCUUUAGGGCUAGCCUCAAGUGAUGAUUAUUGGAGGUAGAGCACUGUUUGGACG